ACUACACCCUCCCCCCGCCCACCGCCUCCGCAACCAACCUCCAGAGAGGGGAAAGGGGGCAGAAGUUUGAGUUAAUAACUAAUAGCUAAUGAAGUAAACAAUAAGCCUCCAUAAAACCCAAAAGAACUGGACUGGGUUCCGAGAGCUUCCAGGUUGUUGAGCACGUGGAGGUUCUGGGAGGGUCCACACCCAGAGAAGGCAGGAAGCUGACCCCUUCCCCAUACCUUGCUCUUUGCAUCUCUUCCGUUUGGCUGUUCCCAAGUUGUAUACUUUGUAAUAAGUGGGAUUUCCACCCAACAACAAUUCAGCCACACUGCUUUACACAUCUAGAAUCCAACCAAAAUUGUAAAGGCUUUGUGGCACUACAGUGAAGGAGGGGAGAACAUCUUCCAAACAUCCAGCACAAGAGCACACAGGAGGCCGGCAUAAUCACAAAUUGCAGCUGUCUGAAGGGCAGUCACAUAAAAGAGGAGAAACUUCACCUUUGCUUCACAAGACACAUCUUGAACCAGGGAUGGAAAUUACAGAGAGGCCAAAACCAGCUCAGUAUGAGCAGCACUGAUAACAGACUGGCC
rnacentral:lncRNA from 1 species